rnacentral:misc_RNA from 1 species
UACACAUGUGCAUGUGACAAGUUUUACUUCUCUUUUAAUCAUCAUUUUCAGCUUUAAAAGUCAACAUAGUCCUUGAUUGUUUUAUUAAUGAUCAAUAUAUAACAAGUAUCUAUGGAAGUUGUGUUGGAGUAAAAUCCACAAUCUAGGUAUUUAAGAAGAUAACAACAUACAAACAAAUUCAAAACAAAAUUAGUGUGGAGUGGGAUCAGAAUACUUAGAAACUGCCUACUGUUGGCCUAGGACCCCUCAGACUUAACUGUAUAGGCUUGUGAGGCCUAGUUUAUGCCAGUGUAAGUAGUACCAGUGCAAACAUAUAGGAAUUUGGGUCAACCCCAAUUUUACGAAUACCCGCAAUUACAAAUGGCUCUGGGCCCGUGCCGUAUGUAAUUGAGGGGUUCUACUGUAUAGAGACUUUAGACUCUGCCAUGGUUUAGAGCACUGAGUUUCCAAAUGAAAAAGCACUUCAAUCCACAAACCUCGAUAAGACUUAGUUGUAGGAAAUCAAGGUGGGGGGUGGGGGAGGUAGUUUCUUUCAAGCUGGGGAUUAUCUCCCUUCCCUGCCCUGCUAGUGCUACUGUUAUAGAGUGAUCAUUCUUUCUCUGUAUUCUGAAGGUCAAAUCAGGCUAAUCUGCCAUGCAACUUUCUUGAGAAGCUUCUUGAGUGCAGGCUGAGUGAUUGUGAACGUUUACAUCCUGCUACUACUUUUUAAGUAGUGUCACUGGAAUUCUCAUUGUCGACCAUACUCAUGAAAGAAGCAGUCAAAGAGGCAAAGCUUGUCAAACUAAGUACUCCAGUAUCACAAACCACGCCCAAACCUCACCCAUAUACAAUUCAGCACAAUGACAAUUCAGCACAAUGACGCUGCGAGUUAUGGCUAAUUCUCCUACCUUUACUUUUAUGUUACUAUUUUCCAAGUAAUGUAUUAUUAAUAAGUGAUAACUUGUUGGAAUGGAUAAAAUCUGAGACUUGUUUUCCAAGGUGUCAUUUUUGUAGUGAGUUGACUACUCCUCUCUGAAGAGUGUACUGUAUUUGGUGUUUAAGACCAAUACCUUAAAUGUCUUUUACGGAAACGUGCGCUAUUUUAACUUGAA